rnacentral:lncRNA from 1 species
GCCAGCGCUUGACAGUCGUUAGGUAGGUUGUACUGUGUAGGGAGGAGCUCAAGAUCAUGAUGGUUGUCACAGGAGAAAGCGGUUGCAUCUUUGCAAAACUAUAUACCUGCUGUGGUUUGUGUUUUCUUUUCUGCUGAGUAAUGAAGUUGUAAGUUCACACUGGCACAUUCUCAGGGCUGUGCAGAUUAUUUGCACUUUAUUUCAUAGGUGAAUAAGUGCUUUUUAGCUUUCUUUGUUCAGUGUAUCUUUGCCUGCCUACAUCAAUCUGCAAGGGAGUUGCAGAAAGCCUCAUGUUCAUCGAGCCGAGACGAAACCAGACAGAGGGUCAAGUUUACAGAUGACCGUGUCUGCAAGAGUCACCUUCUGGACUGCUGCCCCCAUGACAUCCUGGCUGGGACGCGCAUGGAUUUAGGAGAAUGUACCAAAAUCCACGACUUGGCCCUCCGAGCAGAUUAUGAGAUUGCAAGUAAAGAAAGAGACCUGUUUUUUGAAUUAGAU